GCGCCUAUAGCUCAGUUGGUAGAGCAAGUGACUCUUAAUCACUGGUCCGGGGUUCGAGUCCCUGUGGGCGCA
rnacentral:tRNA from 2 species